rnacentral:rRNA from 1 species
UUGGAGGGCAGGUCUGGUGCCAGCAGCCGCGGUAAUUCCAGCUCCAAUAGCGUAUAUUAAAGUUGUUGCAGUUAAAAAGCUCGUAGUUGAAUUUCGGGAUCAGUAUGUUGGUCGUGCUUCGGUACGUACUGUCAUUACUGGUUUCUACCUUCUGAAGAACCUUGAUGUCAUUAAUUUGGUGUCUUGGGGAAUCAGGACUGUUACUUUGAAAAAAUUAGAGUGUUUAAAGCAGGCAUACGCUUGAAUACAUUAGCAUGGAAUAAUGAAAUAGGACGUUUGAUUCUAUUUUGUUGGUUUCUAGGAUUGACGUAACGAUUAAUAGGGAUAGUUGAGGGCAUUAGUAUUCAAUUGUCAGAGGUGAAAUUCUUGGAUUUAUUGAAGACUAACUACUGCGAAAGCAUUUGCCAAGGAUGUUUUCAUUAAUCAAGAACGAAAGUUAGGGGAUCGAAGACGAUCAGAUACCGUCGUAGUCUUAACCAUAAACUAUGCUGACUAGGGAUCGGAUGAUGUUAAUUUUUUAAUGACUCAUUCGGCGCCUUACGGGAAACCAAAGUGUUUGGGUUC